UACGAAGGGGGCUAGCGUUGUUCGGAAUCACUGGGCGUAAAGCGCGCGUAGGCGGUAUAGCAAGCUAGAGGUGAAAUCCCUGGGCUUAACCCAGGAACUGCCUUUAGUACUACUAUGCUGGAGUCUCGAAGGGGAUGGUGGAAUUCCAAAUGUAGAGGUGAAAUUCGUAGAUAUUUGGAGGAACACCGGUGGCGAAGGCGGCCAUCUGGUCGAGUACUGACGCUGAGGCGCGAAAGCGUGGGGAUCAAACAGG
rnacentral:rRNA from 1 species